rnacentral:rRNA from 1 species
GACGAACGCUGGCGGCGUGCUUAACACAUGCAAGUCGAACGGAAAGGCCCCUUUGGGGGUACUCGAGUGGCGAACGGGUGAGUAACACGUGAGUAACCUGCCCUUGACUUCGGGAUAACUUCAGGAAACUGGGGCUAAUACCGGAUAGGAAUCCUUGCUGCAUGGUGGGGGUUGGAAAGCUUCGGCGGUUUUGGAUGGACUCGCGGCUUAUCAGCUUGUUGGUGGGGUAGUGGCCUACCAAGGCUUUGACGGGUAGCCGGCCUGAGAGGGCGACCGGCCACAUUGGGACUGAGAUACGGCCCAGACUCCUACGGGAGGCAGCAGUGGGGAAUAUUGCACAAUGGGCGGAAGCCUGAUGCAGCAACGCCGCGUGCGGGAGGACGGCCUUCGGGUUGUAAACCGCUUUCAGCAGGGGCGAAGCUUGUGGUGACGGUACCUGCAGAAGAAGCACCGGCUAACUACGUG